rnacentral:tRNA from 1 species
ACACAAGUGGCAUAGUGGUUUGAGCAUUGGACUGCGACUUUAGAGACCAGGGUUCGAAUCCCAGCUCAACCA